GUGCAUAUCAGUAGACCUCACCUUGCUAUUUCUUGGCUUGGUGAGGGGGACAGCAUAUGCUACAGGUGAUGUGGAGUGCUGCUAGAUAACAGCCAACAGAAUAGGUAGUUUGGCUAUACUGCCUUACUCCUACAUAG
rnacentral:snoRNA from 1 species